rnacentral:misc_RNA from 1 species
GAUGAAGAACGUAGCGAAAUGCGAUAAGUAAUGUGAAUUGCAGAAUUCAGUGAAUCAUCGAAUCUUUGAACGCACAUUGCGCCCGCCAGUAUUCUGGCGGGCAUGCCUGUUCGAGCGUCAUUUCAACCAUCAAGCCCCAGGCUUGUGUUGGGGACCUGCGGCUGCCGCAGGCCAUGAAAACCAGUGGCGGGCUCGCUGUCACACCGGGCGUAGUAGAUUUUAUCUCGCUCAGGGCGUGCUGCGGGUUCCGGCCGUUAAAAAGCCUUUUUUACCCAAGGUUGACCUCGGAUCAGGUAGGAAUACCCGCUGAACUUAAGCAUAUCAAUAAGCGGAGGA